GACCGUGCAAGGUAGCAUAAUCAUUAGUUUUUUAAUUGAGGACUUGUAUGAAGGGUUGGAUGAGAUAUAAGUUGUUUCUUUUAAUUUUUUAUUUUAACUUUAUAUUUUAGUUAAAAAGCUAAAAUAAAUAUCAAAGACGAGAAGACCCUAUAAAGCUUUAUAUUUUAAUGUUUAUAUUAAAAUAAAAUUUAAAUUUUUAAAAUAAAUAUUAAAAUAUUUUAUUGGGGUGAUAAUAAAAUUUAAAAAACUUUUAUUUUUUUUAUUCAUUUAUAAAUGAUUUAAAUUGAUCCAAUAUUUUUGAUUAAAAAAUUAAGUUACUUUAGGGAUAACAGCGUAAUUUUUUUAAAGAGUUCAAAUCGAUAAAAAAGAUUGCGACCUCGAUGUUGGACUAAGAGUUAGUUUAGGUGCAGAAGUUUAAAUUUUAAGUCUGUUCGACUUUUAAACUCUUACGUGAUCUGAGUUCAAACCGGUGUAAGCCAGG
rnacentral:rRNA from 1 species